UGGGUGACGAGUGGCGGACGGGUGAGUAAUGUCUGGGGAUCUGCCCGAUAGAGGGGGAUAACCACUGGAAACGGUGGCUAAUACCGCAUAACGUCGCAAGACCAAAGAGGGGGACCUUCGGGCCUCUCACUAUCGGAUGAACCCAGAUGGGAUUAGCUAGUAGGCGGGGUAAUGGCCCACCUAGGCGACGAUCCCUAGCUGGUCUGAGAGGAUGACCAGCCACACUGGAACUGAGACACGGUCCAGACUCCUACGGGAGGCAGCAGUGGGGAAUAUUGCACAAUGGGCGCAAGCCUGAUGCAGCCAUGCCGCGUGUAUGAAGAAGGCCUUCGGGUUGUAAAGUACUUUCAGCGGGGAGGAAGGCGACGGGGUUAAUAACCCUGUCG
rnacentral:rRNA from 1 species